GGCACGUGCCUGUAGUUGGGCUGAGGCAGGAGAGAGGCGUGAACCUGGGAGGCAGGACUUGCAGUAAGCCGAGACGGCGCCACUGCACUCCAGCCCAGGCCGUCUCAAAAAAAAAAAUAAAAUAAAAAAUAAAGGUUUAAUAAUAGUACCUAUUGUCUAAUGUUAGAUUAAAUGACUAAAAGACAUUAUUGAGUGGCACAUAGUAGGCACUCAGUAUAUAUUAGCUAUUAGAUUUUAGAUGUUUUUAUUUUAUAUCUGGUUCUCUUUCAGAAUUCAUAAUGCACUGAAAGGAAUUCCAGAUGACCGAGAUGGGCUGUUUGACACAAUCCAGCGCUCUAAGAAUCACUAUCAAAAAAGAGCAUACCAGUGUAUAAAAUGUAUGGUAGCUCUAUUUAGUAACUGUCCUGUUGCUUACCAAAUCCUGCAGGGCAAUGGAGAUCUUAAAAGAAAGUGGACCUGGGCAGUGGAAUGGCUUGGAGAUGAACUUGAAAGAAGACCAUAUACUGGCAAUCCUCAGUACACUUACAACAAUUGGUCUCCCCCAGUGCAAAGCAAUGAAACGUCCAAUGGUUAUUUCUUGGAGAGAUCACAUAGUGCUAGGAUGACACUUGCAAAAGCUUGUGAACUCUGUCCAGAGGAGGUAAAAAAAGCCACCAGUGUGCAGCAGAUAGAAAUGGAAGAGAGCAAAGUAAUUAUUUUAUAGGCCAGUGUUUAUGUAUUAAUGAUAUUAUUAAAAGAUUAUGUUGAAGUUUU
rnacentral:sRNA from 1 species